rnacentral:rRNA from 1 species
CCCGCCGCCGGCCACCCAUCGCCGACGCCGCAGGCUGUGGAUCCAGCGGAGGGCUUCGCGGAGUCGGGAGCAGAACCUCGCUCGCACACCUGCAUUUGGGCCGCCGUCGGAGGGCCGUGCGCUAACUCCCUCCUGCCUCGCUCAGGAUGAUCGAACUGCAUCACACGGAGGAGUAGACCCGCUCGCGUGGCUGGCUUCUAUUCAUCGCCGUCGGGGCUUCUACCUAGCCGCUUGGCAUGUCGGUCAGCACUCCCUCCCCCUCCCUACAGUCGUCCAGCUCCACCCAUCUGAGCUUCCUCCAGGUAGCACUCACCUGCACCGUGCUUCCCACACUGUCGUGCAUCAACAAGGAGGCAAGGUGCUUCUCCUUCUCACCUCGGCCAGUGGCUUCUCCUCCUGAAGCUAACACUUUCAAAAAGACUACAAUAUCUGCUCUGUACGUACCUUUAGCAGAAUUAGGUGAUGAAAAAUAUUGCUCCUUUUAUGUAUUGUUGAUUCCAUACUUUUUUCUGUUCUUAGAAAAAACUCAUAUGCAAUAGCACGCUCUACUGAAUUUUCAUCAGUUAUACUGCCCAUAUUACAAACAGUUUAGUUUAUUGACAAGAGAAAGAUAUCAUCAGUACAACAGCAGCAACUUUUAGCGCAUAUAACUCAUAUACAUACAGCAGUUUAGUAAUAUAAAAAUCAAUAGUUCAAAUAUAGUUGGUACAAAAGAAAUAGUUCAGAAAAAAAAUUACGUGUCAUUUUAAUAAAACCCGUAAAUAUGCGCGAAGCUCCAAUGCAUGCCCAGAUCAGUUUAGAUACACAACAUUCCAUGUAUGUCCUACAGUUUGUACAGUUUCCUUAGUUUCUUCCGAUUCGUACUUUCAUUUUGUUAAAUAUGUCUCUUGAAGAAAUCCUUACCUGCACAGCAUUCAGAGGUGGAAGUGUGCAGAGACGCACCGUCCAAGUCCCAAUUGCCCUGACGGUGACCCAACACCAUCACAGUCCAGCCCCGUAGCGUCAGGGAGGUCGAGGCCAUCGCGAACAGAAGUCCACAGCAGAAGGAUAUGAAGAACCCAGCCGGUGCUUCUUAGUUGAGGCAUGUCAGAAGCUCCCCUCCUAUCGUGUAGUGGUACAAAACUGUGUGUGGACGCUUUGUUGUGUCAGCUGCAGAAGUUCAAUGCAGGGAAACAGGAACUACGCCAUGUACAAGGGCUAUGUGCCGGCAUCGGUGAAGUUCUACUAAGCUAUACGCCGGAUUUACUGGUCAUUGGUGAAAAAAUCAGUUAUUAAACAAACACUUUUUCAUAUGAUGUCAGCCAAAAGAAAUUGUGGAUGUGCUGUCCGCGUGUGUGCGCGGUACACUGAAUUGAAAAAAACUAGUUUUAUCAUGUUUAUUUCCAUAUUAGUUUUAUAGUGUUUGUUUUUUGUGUUCAUGGACUAAAUUAGGAAGUUCAAAUUUUAUGUUCAUGGAUCCAAAUAUUAAACAUUGCAAAAAGAUGUUGCC